AUUGAACGCUGGCGGCAGGCCUAACACAUGCAAGUCGAGCGGCAGCGGGACCUUCGGGUCGCCGGCGAGCGGCGGACGGGUGAGUAAUGCCUAGGAAUCUGCCUGUUAGUGGGGGAUAACGCGGGGAAACUCGCGCUAAUACCGCAUACGUCCUACGGGAGAAAGUGGGGGACCCUCGGGCCUCACGCUAACAGAUGAGCCUAGGUCGGAUUAGCUAGUUGGUGGGGUAAAGGCCCACCAAGGCGACGAUCCGUAACUGGUCUGAGAGGAUGAUCAGUCACACUGGAACUGAGACACGGUCCAGACUCCUACGGGAGGCAGCAGUGGGGAAUAUUGGACAAUGGGCGAAAGCCUGAUCCAGCCAUGCCGCGUGUGUGAAGAAGGUCUUCGGAUUGUAAAGCACUUUAAGUUGGGAGGAAGGGCGCUCGGUGAAUACCCAAGCGUCUUGACGUUACCGACAGAAUAAGCACCGGCUAACCUCGUGCCAGCCGCCGCAGUAACAC
rnacentral:rRNA from 1 species